ACUCAUUCUAAUCAGCUAGAGACUUAUAAUCUAAGAAGCAUGGAUACGCACGGAGACCAGCGUAUUCCGUGUCGGAUACUCACGGAGAUACGAUACGCAGAGGAUACGCUGAGAUACGCUCGGGAUACGUAUCCGAGUCAACGGAUACGGUCAAUCAGCAGAGGAUACGCGUAUCUGUUACGUAUCCCAAUUUGAAGAUACGAUUUAGGAAAUAAUUUCAGAAAAAAAUAGAAUUCCUAGUCCUGAACACCAAGGGAUACCUGUUUUGUUUUGGAACUUUGAAGAUCUUUUCCUAAUUCAGACAGAUCUUGAUCUUCUUUAUAUAAAUAUAUGGGCAUAACGCUACCACCACCCAUCAAUUCAUCUUCUUCUUCUUCUUCUUCAUCUUCUUCACCAGAAAAUAAAAGCAGCCUGGUUCUUCAAUUUGUCUUCAUCUGGUGAUCGUGGUUCAAUAUAAAAUCUGCUCUUUCUGUGUUUUUGGAGGCCGUCGUCGGUAUGUUCGCCUCUCUCUCUCUCUCUCUCUCUCUCUCUCUCUUGUUCUCUGGUCCAGCUUUGCGAAAGAGCAGGUCCAGCUUUGCAAAAGAGGCAUGCUCUUUCUGUGGUUCAAUACUAUUUUGCCCUUAUACAAAUAUAUAUAUAUAUUAUAUUAUAUUAUUUACCAAUCUGCCUGCAAGAGUUCACGUGCCAAGAUGUGAUAUUAUUAUUAUUAUUAAUAUAAAUUUUUAAUUACCGUAUCCAUGACGUAUCGUAUCCUAGUUUUUGGAGAUUUGCCGUAUCCCCGUGUCGUGUCGUAUCGUAUCGCCGUAUCCGUAUCCGUGUCCGUGCUUCUUAGCUUAUAAUUCAACAAGUUCAAAGCUUGUGGGUAGAGCUCAAGGCAUAUAUACUUUUCCUUCUCAACACAGCUCUGCGCUGCUUAUGGCCUUGAACUUUGCUUUCUUAGACUCUGUGCAUAAUGGCAGUGCCCUUAGCAUUCUAGGUAGGAAUCCAUUUUUUCAAGGGACCCGAGAGAUGCCAAUCGUCGGAGGUACUGGGGUUUCCAGUAUGCAAGGGGCUAUGCAUUGGUGAAGACAGUUUCCUUGAGUGCAAAAACUGGAGAUGCUGCCGUCGAAUACAAUGUGUCUGUGUUGCACUACUGAAAAGGUUAAUGCUAUUUGAUGAUGUGGUCAAUAAAAGUGGUACAAAUAGGUUUUUUGUUACUGAUAAUAUCAUGCCACAUUUGUUGCUUUUUCUUUAUUAGUUGCGUUGCCUUCCAUGAUUACAUCAGUCUAUUCUCUGUUGAUUUAGCAUAACUUGCAUAGCAU
rnacentral:lncRNA from 1 species